rnacentral:lncRNA from 10 species
GUCUAGGUUAAUAGCAGGUAAUUGUGACAAGUCCAGUGUGGGUUACUGGUCAUGAAGAAUCCAUUGUUGAUGACAUCCCAGAAGAGAACACUAAGUCUUAGCUUUCAUCUUACCCCUGAACUUCCCUUCCUCUGAAGCACUCAUUAGGUGAAUAAACAAUAUUCCCUAUACCUAUAGAGUGGAAUACCACCCAGCAUCCUCUCACAUACAAAGAAAGAACAAAUUGCUGAUAGACACAGAUGUCCAUCAAUCUCAAAAGUCGUCAUGGU